rnacentral:rRNA from 1 species
AGUCGAGCGGUAGAGAGAAGCUUGCUUCUCUUGAGAGCGGCGGACGGGGUGAGUAAUACCUAGGAAUCUGCCUGGUAGUGGGGGAUAACGUUCGGAAACGGACGCUAAUACCGCAUACGUCCUACGGGAGAAAGCAGGGGACCUUCGGGCCUUGCGCUAUCAGAUGAGCCUAGGUCGGAUUAGCUAGUUGGUGAGGUAAUGGCUCACCAAGGCUACGAUCCGUAACUGGUCUGAGAGGAUGAUCAGUCACACUGGAACUGAGACACGGUCCAGACUCCUACGGGAGGCAGCAGUGGGGAAUAUUGGACAAUGGGCGAAAGCCUGAUCCAGCCAUGCCGCGUGUGUGAAGAAGGUCUUCGGAUUGUAAAGCACUUUAAGUUGGGAGGAAGGGCAUUAACCUAAUACGUUAGUGUUUUGACGUUACCGACAGAAUAAGCACCGGCUAACUCUGUGCCAGCAGCCGCGGUAAUACAGAGGGUGCAAGCGUUAAUCGGAAUUACUGGGCGUAAAGCGCGCGUAGGUGGUUUGUUAAGUUGAAUGUGAAAUCCCCGGGCUCAACCUGGGAACUGCAUCCAAAACUGGCAAGCUAGAGUAUGGUAGAGGGUAGUGGAAUUUCCUGUGU